rnacentral:misc_RNA from 1 species
UCCGUGGUAACACCACGGCAGUCCCCCGUGACACAAGUAACACGGGGCAAGGGUUGCGCUCGUUGCGGGACUUAACUCAACAUCUCACGACACGAGCUGACGACAGCCAUGCAGCACCUGUGUUCAGGUUCUCUUUCGAGCACAUCGCCAUCUCUGGCGACUUCCUGACAUGUCAAGGGUAGGUAAGGUUUUUCGCGUUGCAUCGAAUUAAUCCACAUCAUCCACCGCUUGUGCGGGUCCCCGUCAAUUCCUUUGAGUUUUAAUCUUGCGACCGUACUCCCCGGGCGGUCGACUUCACGCGUUAGCUGCGUUACCGAAGGAGUUACCCUCCGACAACUAGUCGACAUCGUUUAGGGCGUGGACUAC